rnacentral:rRNA from 1 species
AUUGAACGCUGGCGGCAGGCCUAACACAUGCAAGUCGAGCGGAAACGAUCCUAGCUUGCUAGGAGGCAUCGAGCGGCGGACGGGUGAGUAACGCGUGAGAAUCUACCCAUGAGUGGGGGACAACCCGGGGAAACUCGGGCUAAUACCGCAUACGCCCUACGGGGUAAAGCAGGGGACCUUCGGGCCUUGCGCUGAUGGAUGAGCUCGCGUCGGAUUAGCUUGUUGGUGAGGUAAAGGCUCACCAAGGCGACGAUCCGUAGCUGGUCUGAGAGGAUGAUCAGCCACACCGGGACUGAGACACGGCCCGGACUCCUACGGGAGGCAGCAGUGGGGAAUCUUGGACAAUGGGGGCAACCCUGAUCCAGCCAUGCCGCGUGUGUGAAGAAGGCCUUCGGGUUGUAAAGCACUUUCAGCAGGGAGGAAGGCUUACCCCUAAUACGGGUGAGUACUUGACGUUACCUGCAGAAGAAGCACCGCUAAUUU